rnacentral:lncRNA from 10 species
AUUUCUACUGUCUUACAAAUGAGGAAACUCUGUCAUGACUAGAGGUUGAGCAAUCUACUCAAAGUUACACUCCUUGUCAUUGGCAAAGUCAGGAUUUGAAUUCAGUGGUAGGAAUGUGGGAAGGGGCAGGAGUUGAGAAAAAAAAAUGGUCUUGGGAAGAACAAGACACAGUUACCAAAAAAAAAAAAAAAAAAAAAAAAGAGAGAGAGAGAGAGAGAAGGAAAUGUACAGCCCCAAUAGGAGGAAAAAAAUUCCUAUCCAAACCAGAAGCAGCAGCUCAAAUGCAAAAUACUCAGAUCAAGAUAGUACAGGGCUUACCUUCUUUGCAGCAUUCCCCACCAAUUUUUUUUUUUAAGAAAAAUAAUUCUUAGGAAGGCAAGAUUUACUUAAGAAAAGCUAAUUAGUUAGAACCCUCUCUAAUGUAACUUCUAAAAGGUAGGUUUCUAGUUAAUUGGCCAAGGA